rnacentral:rRNA from 1 species
UACGAGAGGUCCAAACGUUAUUCGGAAUUACUGGGCUUACAGAGUUCGUAGGCGGCUCUACAAGUGAGGUGUGAAAGCCCUCGGCUCAACCGAGGAACUGCGCUUCAAACUGUAGAACUAGAGGGAGAUAGAGGUGAGCAGAACUAAUGGUGGAGCGGUGAAAUGCGUUGAUAUCAUCCGGAAUACCGGAGGCGAAGGCGGCUCACUGGGUCUCUUCUGACGCUGAGGAACGAAGGCUAGGGGAGCAAACGGG